AGGGUCAGACUAAGGAGUGGAGUUCUUGAGUCAGUCCUGCAGGCGGUGGUCCCUAGAACAGUGGGGUUUUCUUUAUUUCAAUUGGAAUCGCUACAGGGCUGUUGCCAAGAUGACGGAAUGCCAUGGCCUUGGGGGAAACUCUAAGCAUUUGACUAUAAAUCCGAGCAGAGGGAGCAGGGGACAUAUUUUGGCUUGCUUGAGUUUUAAACUGAAUUUCUGGGACCACUGGAAACCAAAUAAAUAUCAUCUGCCUAUACAAGGGAGCACCAGUUUUCCAUGAGUAUCCUGCCUUGGUUUGGGUUCAAGACUAAAUAAUGUGUCUUUGAUCAUUGAUGAUGCUUGGAUUAUCGAACACAGUAAGGAUUCCAUAUGAGCAACCAUAACAGGCAGGCUGGAUAGGGCUGAGGAGAAAGGCCCCUUUGAAUUUCCUUGCAUGGUACUAGUGAAUUUCAUCUUUCUCCUCUGGAUGAAGAUGAUUUAUACUUGAUGGCCCAGUUUUGUCUCUAAGCCUUAGAAUCUAAGGAAACACCUUAUUGGGAACUGUGCUUAAAAAUGCCCACUGCCUAAGAGCUCUAUAAAGAUUAUGAUCCUAUGAUAAAUCUAUGUAAUUCGUUUUGAAUUUUCCUUUUCUAUGUGUCUUUGUAUAUAUGAGCAUGUGCAUUUAUGUGUACAUGUAUGAACACAUGUAUGUGGAAGCUAACAAUCAACAUUGCAUAUCAUCUUCAGUUGCUCUCCGUAUUAACUUUUGGGAUGGGGUCUUUCAUUGAAUCUGGAGCCAGCCAGACUAACUGGCCAUCAGCUGUAGCGAUCCUCUGGUCCCUCCCACACAGUGUUUGGUUUACAAGCAUCUGCUAAUGUCCCUGUCCUUUGUACACGGAUGCUUGAACACUAGGUGAGUUGCCACCUGAGCCAUUUCCCCAAAUCUCUUUUUUAGUACUUCCUCCCCUCCCAUAGCAGGAAGAUCUGCUCACAGAUACAGGAAGUCUUCAAGGAACCCUGUGCUGUUUCUUCCUCUCAGAUGAUCAGAAAAGUUGAGGUGGGGACAAGACGGCAGCUUUAGAACUUCAAACUCGAGACAAAGCCUCCUUACUCUGCAAGCCUGAGAGCUUCUGUGGCUUUGGGAAGGAGAGGCUCCACUUUUCCCUUCCCUGUGAAGUUUUCUCAGAGGGCAUUUUCUGAGUCAAUGGCUGUGGAAUGAUUCCUAGUGACCCUUCUUCCCUUGAAGAGCAAUCCCUGGACCAGCAGUUCCAGAGUCCCCAGGAACUAUUGAGAAAUUCAGUAUCACAGGCUCCACUUGGAGCUUGAAGCAAAACUUGCAUAUGAAUAAGAUCUGAUGUGAUUUCUGAGAUCAAUACAGUUUGAUAAACAGACAGACUCAUGGUCUCUGCUCAGUUCUUUCCUGUUUCCGCAGCACACUUGAAAAUAAUAACCUAAAAAAAAAUCAUAAUACUUAGAAUUUCUUCUGUGACAAUGAGAGCUAACCUAGCUUCCUAAAUGUCCUAAAUCCGCCAACUUGCUCUGUAAUCAGAAAUGACCUUGAGGUUUGAACCUUCUGCCUCCACCUUCAGAGUGCUGGGAUUGCAAGUGUGUAGCGUCAUGCUUGCCUUAUGUGAUGCUCGGCUUCAUGUAUGCUAGGCAAGCACUCUAUCUACCAACCACCUCUCUAGUCCUCUGGGUUCUUUGUACUUAAUUACCCAGUUCUGUGCUGUGUACUGUAUUCUUCCAAAAGAGCAUGGGUUUUUGUUUAUCUAUCAUUGCAGAUUUGUGUCAGGGGUGAGAAUCUUGUCUACUUAUUUAGGCUCACACCCUGGUCUUUAAAAGAGUUGCUAACCUCAAAGUUUCUAAGACUCUGAGUCUAAACAGUGAGAUUUUCCAACUCAAUACAGAAAGGAAUUAUAAACAUAAAUGUGACAGUAACCAACAUUAAAUAAUAACACUUUCAGAGAUUGGUUUACUAACCAGAAGAAAGGAAUAUUCUUAUUGCUUAGUCUGGACUUUGAAACAGAGCUAGACAAGUCUAGUUUUAGGAAGGCAGGAAGGGAUGGAAAGGGAGUAAGAAGGACU
rnacentral:lncRNA from 1 species